UACGAAGGGUGCAAACGUUGCUCGGAAUUAUUGGGCGUAAAGAGCUCGUAGGCGGUUUGUCGCGUCUGCUGUGAAAACUCGGGGCUUAACUCCGGGCCUGCAGUGGGUACGGGCAGACUAGAGUGCGGUAGGGGAGACUGGAAUUCCUGGUGUAGCGGUGAAAUGCGCAGAUAUCAGGAGGAACACCGGUGGCGAAGGCGGGUCUCUGGGCCGUAACUGACGCUGAGGAGCGAAAGCGUGGGGAGCGAACAGG
rnacentral:rRNA from 1 species